GACGAACCGUACGAACGUUAUUCGGAAUUACUGGGCUUAAAGGGUGCGUAGGCGGCUCAGUAAGUUGGGUGUGAAAUCCCUCGGCUUAACCGAGGAAUUGCGCCCAAAACUACUGUGCUCGAGGGAGAUAGAGGUGAGCGGAACUUAGGGUGGAGCGGUGAAAUGCGUUGAUAUCCUAAGGAACACCGGUGGCGAAAGCGGCUCGCUGGAUCUCUUCUGACGCUGAGGCACGAAAGCUAGGGUAGCAAACGGG
rnacentral:rRNA from 1 species